CUGGGGGCGUGCUUACACAUGCAGUCGAACGGUGAAGCCAAGCUUGCUUGGUGGAUCAGUGGCGAACGGGUGAGUAACACGUGAGCAACCUGCCCUGGACUCUGGGAUAAGCGCUGGAAACGGCGUCUAAUACUGGAUAUGAGACGUGAUCGCAUGGUCGUGUUUGGAAAGAUUUUUCGGUCUGGGAUGGGCUCGCGGCCUAUCAGCUUGUUGGUGAGGUAAUGGCUCACCAAGGCGUCGACGGGUAGCCGGCCUGAGAGGGUGACCGGCCACACUGGGACUGAGACACGGCCCAGACUCCUACGGGAGGCAGCAGUGGGGAAUAUUGCACAAUGGGCGAAAGCCUGAUGCAGCAACGCCGCGUGAGGGAUGACGGCCUUCGGGUUGUAAACCUCUUUUAGCAGGGAAGAAGCGAAAGUGACGGUACCUGCAGAAAAAGCGCCGGCUAACUACGUGCCAGCAGCCGCGGUAAUACGUAGGGCGCAAGCGUUAUCCGGAAUUAUUGGGCGUAAAGAGCUCGUAGGCGGUUUGUCGCGUCUGCUGUGAAAUCCCGAGGCUCAACCUCGGGCCUGCAGUGGGUACGGGCAGACUAGAGUGCGGUAGGGGAGAUUGGAAUUCCUGGUGUAGCGGUGGAAUGCGCAGAUAUCAGGAGGAACACCGAUGGCGAAGGCAGAUCUCUGGGCCGUAACUGACGCUGAGGAGCGAAAGGGUGGGGAGCAAACAGGCUUAGAUACCCUGGUAGUCCACCCCGUAAACGUUGGGAACUAGUUGUGGGGACCAUUCCACGGUUUCCGUGACGCAGCUAACGCAUUAAGUUCCCCGCCUGGGGAGUACGGCCGCAAGGCUAAAACUCAAAGGAAUUGACGGGGGACCCGCACAAGCGGCGGAGCAUGCGGAUUAAUUCGAUGCAACGCGAAGAACCUUACCAAGGCUUGACAUAUACGAGAACGGGCCAGAAAUGGGUCAACUCUUUGGACACUCGUAACAGGUGGUUGGCAUG
rnacentral:rRNA from 1 species